ensembl:lincRNA Gm44110 predicted gene, 44110
CACAGCCAGUCCACUCCUGCCAGUCCAGCCCCCACGGAACUAUAAGCAAGAAAAUAUAAUUGCUGAGACAGAAGCAGGGAGAUGCUCAAAUUUCACAAUCUGAGGUGGGACGAGCAACCCUGAGAAAGCAUUUGCUUCACUGGAGGACCUGCUGCAGCUACGCUGUCUGACUCCUAUCCACCUCACCCAGUUCUGCCUCUGUUGCAGCUCAGAUGCGGGAACAGGCUGUGAUGCCCUUCCUCUGGAGGUAUAUUUCCUUCUGUGACUGUCAGAGACCUCAGAACACAUCCCAGUUUUCCCUCACGCUUCUCUGAUCUGACCUUGAAGAGCAGGCAGAUGACCAUGGCACAUUGCUUCUGUGAAUGCACAGGCCAGGUGUAAUGGUUUUUGCCUUGCUGGUCAUAGGCUGCUAGAGCCCAGUGAAGACAAAUGGAGGGACAUUUUAAAAUGUAGGAUUCUUCCUCUCCACUCUGAC